rnacentral:rRNA from 1 species
UCCUGGCUCAGGAUGAACGCUAGCGGCAGGCCUAAUACAUGCAAGUCGAACGGGAUCUGAGGGUAGCUUGCUACCCGAUUUGAGAGUGGCGCACGGGUGCGUAACGCGUGAGCAACCUACCCAUAUCAGGGGGAUAGCCCGAAGAAAUUCGGAUUAACACCGCAUAACAAUGUAGUAACACAUGUUAUCACAUUUAAAUAUUUAUAGGAUAUGGAUGGGCUCGCGUGACAUUAGCUAGUUGGUAAGGUAACGGCUUACCAAGGCGACGAUGUCUAGGGGCUCUGAGAGGAGAAUCCCCCACACUGGUACUGAGACACGGACCAGACUCCUACGGGAGGCAGCAGUAAGGAAUAUUGGUCAAUGGGCGCAAGCCUGAACCAGCCAUGCCGCGUGCAGGAUGACUGCCCUAUGGGUUGUAAACUGCUUUUGUUAGGGAAUAAACCUUCUUACGUGUAAGGAGCUGAAUGUACCUAAAGAAUAAGGAUCGGCUAACUCCGUG